AUACAGGUCUUGAACAAAGUCGUGUAAUUGGAAUGAGAGCAAUUUAAACACUUCAUCGAGUAACAAUUGGAGGGCAAGUCUGGUGCCAGCAGCCGCGGUAAUUCCAGCUCCAAUAGCGUAUAUUAAAGUUGUUGCAGUUAAAGAGCUCGUAGUUGGAUCUUGGGGCACUUGCAGCCUGGUCCGCCGAUAAGGUGUGUACUGACUGCAGUGUCCUUCCUUGCCAGUUUCUCACCUCUGUUAUCCAGUUAAUGGAGGAAAAACACUGCAUGUAGCGAUAUGUGCAGUGGGGAUCUGGCUCAUUUACUUUGAAAAAAUUAGAGUGUUCAAAGCAGGCAGUAAUUGCCAUUGAAUAGAUUAGCAUGGGAUAAUAGAAUAGGAUCGUGCUCCCAUUUUGUUGGUUUCUAGGAGUGCGGUAAUGAUUAAUAGGGAUAGUCGGGGAUGUCUGUACUCAAUUGUCAGAGGUGAAAUUCUCGGAUUUAUGGAAGACAAACAUAGGCGAAAGCAUUCAUCAAGGAUGUUUUCAUUAAUCAAGAACGAAAGUGUGGGGAUCGAAGACGAUCAGAUACCGUCGUAGUCCACACCAUAAACUAUGCCGACCAGCAAUCGAGAGACGUUAACAUUAAUCUGGAUGACUCUCCCGGCGGCUUGUGAGAAAUCAUAAGUUUUUGGGUCCUGGGGGGAGUAUGGUCGCAAGGCUGAAACUUAAAGGAAUUGACGGAAGGGCACCACCAGGGGUGGAGCCUGCGGCUUAAUUUGACACAACACGGGAAAACUCACCAGGUCCGGACAUAGGAAGGAUUGACAGAUUUAUAGCUCUUUCUUGAUUCUAUGGGUGGUGGUGCAUGGCCGUUCUUAGUUGGUGGAGUGAUUUGUCUGGUUAAUUCCGAUAACGAACGAGACCUCUUCCUGCUAAAUAGUCAUGUUAACCCUGCUAUCCAAAACAAGGGUAGAAGCGUGGUUUUCUCAGGCUUCGGUUUGGGUUAGCCCCUUUUAUCUUUGUGGUUGGGUUGACAGCCGACUUCUUAGAGGGACAGUUAGGCAAUACAACUAAAGGAAGUUUGAGGCAAUAACAGGUCUGUGAUGCCCUUAGAUGUUCUGGGCUGCACGCGCGCUACACUGACCGGAUCAAAAAGUUCAUUCACCUUGGCCGAUGGGUCUGGGUAAUCUUAUAAAUCCGGUCGUGCUGGGGAUAGAUCAUUGUAAUUAUUGGUCUUCAACGAGGAAUCCCUAGUAAUCGCAAGUCACUAGCUUGCGCUGAUUACGUCCCUGCCCUUUGUACACACCGCCCGUCGCUCCUACCGAUUGAAUGAUUCGAUGAAAUUUUCGGAUUUCGGUGGUUCAUGCUGGGGGUAACUCUGGCAUUCCACUGGAAAAAGAUAAUUAAAUCUCAUUAUUUAGAGGAAGGAGAAGUCGUAACAAGGUAUCCGUAGGGGAACCUGCGGAUG
rnacentral:rRNA from 1 species